AAAAACCAGAUAAAGAGAAGAGUAGUCGUAUGGAUUAUUGUACAGAGAGCCCUGUUUAGCUGAGAGGGGUGAAUAAAAAGUGUGAUGAAGAUGGUCUCAGAUGGGAUAAGUCGAUAUUUAGACUUAUACGGGAACUCCCGUUAUAGAGUUAGGAUAUGAUAGUAUCUGAAGAGGCAUUUUUUAGUGCAAAAAAGGUGGUAACGCGGAAAAAUUUCGUCCUUAUU
rnacentral:ncRNA from 1 species